AUUACAGGCAUGUGCCACCACACCCGGCUAAUUGACCAUGGCCAAGUUAUUUUCUAAUUUAAUGUGACCACGUUAUAGAACAUAUGAAAAGAAACAAACUCUCAUAUGAAACCAACACUCACACAAUUUAACUUGGGUAUAAUUCUUCCUGGUCUUUUAAAAAAUCCUCAUUUUUUUAUUUCAAAGUAAACAAUUUAAUUUUAAAACAUAGUACAGCAUUCAUUGGCCCCUGUAAAGUAUAGUGAUUUAUUGAUGAAGCUUUAGAAUAAUAAGUAGAGAAGUACUUACAUAUUUGCUUGUUGUUCAAUAAGUGCACCAUAUUUUCCUGCUCAGGUCCAUGAAUUCUCAAUGCAUCCUUUCUGGCUAAUAUCAUAUCCCACCCUGAGAAAAAAGAAGCAACACUGUUACUACUUUAAAUGCCAUAGCUCUUGGAAAUUUGUUUGUGUUGAAACAAUACAGGUUAUCUUGGCUAUGCAGUUCCCUAGUGCUAAUUAUUUAAUGCUGGUUACCUUAUUACUCCUGACUGUGCAUCAUACAGUGACUUCAAAUGACACUGUCAAAGAUUGUUACCAUGCUUCAUUGAUGAUGAAGACAAAUGCAAGUCUUAACCAGAGUAUGCACAAGAUAUGAACCCUAAUUCAUUUUCUAGUCAUGUUAAAUUUGCCAUUUGAAAUUUUAUCACAUAAAGGUGGAACAACACAUUUUCCAACAGCGCCUUCUCUUGAGCUCUUUAAGCCAUAAUCACUGUUGACCACCCCGCUACCUUACACAUACUGCCAGGAGAAAGAAGGAUAAACCAGGGGCCCACGGGCAAAGUCAGAGUGGCAGCCCCGUUCACACAAGAAAUGUCUGUCCCUUCUUGGCACGACUUAAGGCCGGCCUGGGAGGACACGAUGUGGCCACAUGAUCAGAGCUAAGACAGGACCAUCAAUUGAUAAAGCCCGUUGGCAUUGUGUAGCAAAAGUCUCCAAAGCCCUAGAAGGAGGCAGCCAGGUCACCCUGGAGGACUGCCUGAUACAGAGCACAAAGCCUGUAAAGGAGGGGGCACUGAGUCAUGGGGCCCAGGGCAAGUUACCCGCUUGCAAAACUGUCCAAAUUGAUCUGGACUAGUCACAAUGACAGUAUUAAAAAGAAGAGAAAUGAGCAUUGUUUUUAAGCCACUUUCUUAUUUGUACUCUGUUACAGUAGUGCGGAAAUAUUGUAAUUAAUAUGCUCCCAUAUGUCGGAUAUUACCAACCUUUUCCAUUGUCAUACUCUGAUAAAAAAAAAAAUGGUACUUUAUUUUUGCUUUUAGUAAGGUUGAGCCUGUAUUUAUGUUUCUUGAUCAAUUGUGUUUCUUCUCUCAAGUGCCUAUUAAUGUUCUGUGCCCACUGUUUUCUACUAGGGACUUUUUGAGGCUAAGUUUUAAGAGAUGUAUAUGAUAUCCCCUAUAAGGUGACACUGUACGACACGCAAUGAAGGAGGUAGCUGUGUGUCCGCAGUUGGUUCCUGCCGGUGGGUUCAUGGUCUCGCUGACUUCAAGAAUGAAGCUGUGGACCUUCGUGAUGAGUGUCACAGUUCUUAAAGAAUGUGGAAAUAUAAAUCUGCUCUGUAUAAGACUGGA